rnacentral:rRNA from 1 species
GGCGUGCCUAAUACAUGCAAGUCGAACGAACUCUGGUAUUGAUUGGUGCUUGCAUCAUGAUUUACAUUUGAGUGAGUGGCGAACUGGUGAGUAACACGUGGGAAACCUGCCCAGAAGCGGGGGAUAACACCUGGAAACAGAUGCUAAUACCGCAUAACAACUUGGACCGCAUGGUCCGAGUUUGAAAGAUGGCUUCGGCUAUCACUUUUGGAUGGUCCCGCGGCGUAUUAGCUAGAUGGUGGGGUAACGGCUCACCAUGGCAAUGAUACGUAGCCGACCUGAGAGGGUAAUCGGCCACAUUGGGACUGAGACACGGCCCAAACUCCUACGGGAGGCAGCAGUAGGGAAUCUUCCACAAUGGACGAAAGUCUGAUGGAGCAACGCCGCGUGAGUGAAGAAGGGUUUCGGCUCGUAAAACUCUGUUGUUAAAGAAGAACAUAUCUGAGAGUAACUGUUCAGGUAUUGACGGUAUUUAACCAGAAAGCCACGGCUAACUACGUGCCAGCAGCCGCGGUAAUACGUAGGUGGCAAGCGUUGUCCGGAUUUAUUGGGCGUAAAGCGAGCGCAGGCGGUUUUUUAAGUCUGAUGUGAAAGCCUUCGGCUCAACCGAAGAAGUGCAUCGGAAACUGGGAAACUUGAGUGCAGAAGAGGACAGUGGAACUCCAUGUGUAGCGGUGAAAUGCGUAGAUAUAUGGAAGAACACCAGUGGCGAAGGCGGCUGUCUGGUCUGUAACUGACGCUGAGGCUCGAAAGUAUGGGUAGCAAACAGGAUUAGAUACCCUGGUAGUCCAUACCGUAAACGAUGAAUGCUAAGUGUUGGAGGGUUUCCGCCCUUCAGUGCUGCAGCUAACGCAUUAAGCAUUCCGCCUGGGGAGUACGGCCGCAAGGCUGAAACUCAAAGGAAUUGACGGGGGCCCGCACAAGCGGUGGAGCAUGUGGUUUAAUUCGAAGCUACGCGAAGAACCUUACCAGGUCUUGACAUACUAUGCAAAUCUAAGAGAUUAGACGUUCCCUUCGGGGACAUGGAUACAGGUGGUGCAUGGUUGUCGUCAGCUCGUGUCGUGAGAUGUUGGGUUAAGUCCCGCAACGAGCGCAACCCUUAUUAUCAGUUGCCAGCAUUAAGUUGGGCACUCUGGUGAGACUGCCGGUGACAAACCGGAGGAAGGUGGGGAUGACGUCAAAUCAUCAUGCCCCUUAUGACCUGGGCUACACACGUGCUACAAUGGAUGGUACAACGAGUUGCGAACUCGCGAGAGUAAGCUAAUCUCUUAAAGCCAUUCUCAGUUCGGAUUGUAGGCUGCAACUCGCCUACAUGAAGUCGGAAUCGCUAGUAAUCGCGGAUCAGCAUGCCGCGGUGAAUACGUUCCCGGGCCUUGUACACACCGCCCGUCACACCAUGAGAGUUUGUAACACCCAAAGUCGGUGGGGUAACCUUUUAGGAACCAGCCGCCUAAGGUGGGAC